UUUAUUUUGAAACUGCCCCUGCCCUUCGAUCCGGUCUAUCUCCGUCCCUACUUGGCAGAGCCUGACUUCCAUUCCAUCUCGAUCUCGGCGAUGCCGCGCAUGGCGCGACGCACAGCAAUGACUUCGCGAAGUCGCGAAGCUGCACGCGUCUAGCGAGCGCGUGUAGCUCGCCCCCCCCUGGCGGAAGCCGCCACCACAGGCAUGGCAUCUGGCUGGCGGAGCAUUCGUCUGGCCGGCGUCAGACAUGACGCGGCCGAGAUCAAGCCGGAGACGGUUCGUGGCCUCUUCUCACCACCACAGCCGCAGCCUCCCAGUCGCCAGGAUACUAGGAUGCGCUCGUGAAGACUUUCCAUUACGUUGAAUCAAAGCUAUGUCCUCCUGUCCUCCUGGAUCCCAAGGAAAGAGCUGAACUGCGGACUUCACGUUGGAUGAAAGGUGAAGGAGGAACCAGCCCGUUCUUAUGUUGGGUAUGCAGCCCCCCUCGGCAGAGAGGUAUAACCUCGCCGGAGAAGACAACUAUCCCCAUGGACCGAAGGUCCAUGACAUUGAUGUACUAUAUCUACUACUGGCGUCUCAAGUAAAGCUUCACUAACUGCAUGUGAAGUAUGUGUUGUAAGUUGUAACAAAGCUCUGCUUAAUCCGCGUGUCACAAUGAACCUUGGGAAAUUUGGGCUACUAUUAGGGCUAGUUUGGGAACACCAUUUUCCCAAUGGAUUCCUAUUUUGCCCAAGGGAAAAUAAAUUAAUUUUCCUGGGAAAACAAAAAUCUCUUGGGAAAAUGUGGUUUCCAAAUCAGCCCUUAGAAUGGUGAAAUGCAUUGGGAAGCUUCCUAUGCCAUUCGUGCUCAACAUGAAAGGUCACUAGAUAACACUAGUAACUAAUAAUUGAUGGUAGAAGAUAGUAUUGUUGCAUUGCUUUUUUAUCUGGUUGUUUUGCAACGGACUAAUACUUGAUUUGGUGCAUCCUGAUUCUUUCAAAAAUAUCAUAUUUCUAUAUUUGAUUUUAUAUUUCAAUUCUCGCAUCACGUGUUUCCUGCAUGUCCCAUGUCAAUUAUAUUAGACAGGCUUUGUGUUGUGGAUGGGCUUAGGCCACGACACAUAGGCCUGUUAGUGGCCAAUAAUUCAGGCCCCUGAUUGUGUUGAGAUGGGCUUGGAUGACCAGGAUUGAUUCUACUUCUAUAAAUCCUAAUCCUUGGCACUCCUCGGGGGUCAAGCAGUUAACCUGCAAUUGCAAACUUGAGUCAUCAUCCAUGGUGCUGUGAGCUAGCGAGCCACUAACCUGUAAUGACUGAGCUGAGUUAUCUUCUGCAGCACUAUUCUGGCUGCCCGAUCCACCCCCGGAUCAGGCGCUUGGUGUCCGAGGCGGAUUGCUCCAACUGAUUCUGCGCGGCGGAUUGCUACAAAAUUGGGAAGAGUUGAGGGAGCCGUUGGAGCAUGGAAAAAACACGAAUUCUUCCUAACAUCACUUUUUCGAGUAUUUCUAGCAGCGUCGUUGGAGUUGCUCUUAGGGGCUGUUUGGUUGGACCGAACAAUAUGGGCUCGCCUCGCUCAGCAAGAAACAGAACAAGAACAGGAUAGACGGGAAAGACUGUCAAGGCACAGAUCCGGGACACGGCUAGCCAGGAAAGGUACCGCGGGAACAUCGCUGUUAUGAUGGUCAGUAACAAGUCGGACCUGAACGGCUGAACCACCUUAGGUCGGAUAAACGUCGAGAAGGCGUUCCACAGCACACCAUCUUGAGCGAGAAUGGCUCGCGUGCUGUUCUAGCUGCGAAGACCUGCUCCCGAUCCCAACGGAACAAAUGCAGGUUUCGGAAGGGUUCCCUUCUGCGAAGACCUGUUCUAGCUGCGAAGAUCGCUUUGCAUUAUCUGCCUGACUUCGAAAGCCAGUAAUUGACCGGUGGUUCGAUUCUUUGUCACAAGGAACUUCUUCCUCUAGCAUCGUAUCAUAUACCACACGUACACUGUCAAACCAAGCGAAGCGUGUUCCUGUUGCAUUUGUUGUCUAAUUAACCUGUACCUGUAUACUUGGACGGACCGAAGAACAUUCUGCGUGUACUUA